rnacentral:rRNA from 1 species
GGGUCAGUAGGUUGGUCGUGCCACCGGUACGUACUGGUCUCACUGAUUCCUCCUUCCUGAAGAACCGUAAUGCCAUUAAUUUGGCGUUGCGGGGAAACAGGACUGUUACUUUGAAAAAAUUAGAGUGUUUAAAGCAAGCUAACGCUUGAAUACAUUAGCAUGGAAUAAUGAAAUAGGACGAUCGAUCCUAUUUUGUUGGUCUCUAGGAUUGACGUA